UACGUAGGGUGCGAGCGUUAAUCGGAAUUACUGGGCGUAAAGCGUGCGCAGGCGGUUCGUUAUGUCCGAUGUGAAAGCCCCGAGCUCAACUUGGGAAUGGCAUUGGAAACUGGCAGGCUGGAGUGUGGCAGAGGGGGGUGGAAUUCCACGUGUAGCAGUGAAAUGCGUAGAGAUGUGGAGGAACACCGAUGGCGAAGGCAGCCCCCUGGGCUGACACUGACGCUCAGGCACGAAAGCGUGGGGAGCAAACAGG
rnacentral:rRNA from 1 species